GGCAAGCCUGUUACUGGAGAGCCGCAGGUAUUGCAGGAUUUUGUUCCAACUAGGCACCACACCUGACCAACUGAGCUAAUUGAUCAGUGAUUGCCUCAAUUGAACACAGCUGGCCUUCCAGGUUGGUUAAAUGAAAUACAGGAACCCCAGGACCAGGCUCACCUACCCACGUGUUAAACUAACAAGGGUAGAAACUCAAACAUUUUACCAUGCAGCAUUAUCAAAUGUUAGCUUGAUUGAUUUAAUUUAUCGAUUUGAUAUAUUUUCUUAUUGGUUUACUAAAAUGUUCUGUAUCCAUUAUCCUAACCUGAAGCUGUUUUUCUAUUCCCAACGACUGAUGGAUGUCUCAUUUUGACUGAUUUCGGAGUCAAGCGGGACCCAGCAACACUGAACAUCUUCUCAGGGAACAUCAUGAAUUUACUGAGUGCACCAGCUCAUGGGGUGAGGAUAAUCGGCAGCUCAACCCUGGCCCUGUGUCUUGAUAGCCACGGAGGCGGCUGAGGCCUACUACCAGUAUGGGCUGCACUGCUGGGACAUCCGAGAGGCUGGGGGAGUUGUCAUAGACACCACAGGCCUGGGGUGUUGCACAAAAGGACCACUGUUGAGAGACUGGGCGUGAGGUCGGGAUCAUGUGGUCAGCUGCCGUUCAGUCUCUGGCAGUCCAGAAGCUCAGCUAUCAACUCCUUCCCUGAAAUGGGUCCUCUCGACCUCAUGUCCUGAAGAGUGGUUGCUGCAGGAACCCACAACAUGGCCAGUUACAUCGUCCAGCAACUGCAGCCAAUCGGCUACGAGUGGGAUGACAGUGACCCUGGUUUGCAAAAGUAAAAGUCGACCUCCAUCUAUCCAGUGGAUUCUCCCCCGCCUUUCACCUCAAAUCAUGAAAUGUUGCCGCAGAGUAUGCAAGCCUGCUCUUUUUUUAAAGGAGAUUUAGCUAAAACAUCAUUUUCCUCCUUUUAAUAUGGCAAUAUUUGUACAGUAUAUUGUAAGUAUGCAAUAAUAUACACGGCCAGAUAAUAAUUAGUGACUAGAUUUACAGUAGUAAUCACAUAGACACUCCUUAGCUCUUACAGUUGAAACACUGACUGAAGUUUGUCACGUUUAACUGUUUUUUUACUUUUCUAAAUAUGGAUCCUCAUACCAACAAAGGAAAAUUCUGAAAAAUMUAGAUGUGUUUUCAAUGACGUAAUGAAAAUAGUUGAACCAGGUUUGUAUGGAGCUAGAAGUAUGGUUUGUAGUGAUGGUUGUGGAUGCUAAGACUUACAUCACUGCCAAAACCGUUAUUCACUAUAUUAUA